CUGUCGGCGAGUCAAAUGCUUGCCGGCUCAAGGACAAGCUGUGACGGGUAUGAACGAUUUAUCGUUCUAAGUGAGUGACGCCACACCGCCAAGAAAAGCUUCUAGUUAGAAUCAGACCGCCCGUACCGCAAACCGACACAGGUAGUCGGGUCGAGAAGACCAAGGUGAGCGAGAGAACUUUCGUUAAGGAACUCGGCAAAAUGACCCCGUAACUUCGGGAGAAGGGGUGCUGAUCGCAAGAUCAGCCGCAGUGAAUAGGCCCAGGCGACUGUUUAUCAAAAAUACAGGUUUCUGCAAAAUCGUAAGAUGAAGUAUAGGGGCUGACGCCUGCCCGGUGCUGGAAGGUUAAGAGGAUGGGUUAGCGCAAGCGAAGCUCAGAAUUGAAGCCCCAGUAAACGGCGGCCGUAACAAUAACGGUCCUAAGGUAGCGAAAUUCCUUGUCGGGUAAGUUCCGACCCGCACGAAAGGCGUAACGAUCUGGGCACUGUCUCAACGAGAGACUCGGUGAAAUUAUAAUACCCGUGAAGAUGCGGGUUACCCGCGACAGGACGGAAAGACCCCAUGGAGCUUUACUGUAGCUUGAUAUUGGGUGUUUGUACAACUUGUACAGGAUAGGUAGGAGCCGUAGAAGUCGGGACGCUAGUUUCGACGGAGGCAUCGGUGGGAUACUACCCUCGUUGUAUGAACACUCUAACCCACGCCGGCAAUCACGGCGGGAGACAGUGUCAGGUGGGCAGUUUGACUGGGGCGGUCGCCUCCUAAAAGGUAACGGAGGCGCCCAAAGGUUCCCUCAGAAUGGUUGGAAAUCAUUCGCAGAGUGUAAAGGCAUAAGGGAGCUUGACUGCGAGACCUACAAGUCGUGCAGGGACGAAAGUCGGGCUUAGUGAUCCGGUGGUCCCGCAUGGAAGGGCCAUCGCUCAACGGAUAAAAGCUACCCUGGGGAUAACAGGCUUAUCUCCCCCAAGAGUCCACAUCGACGGGGAGGUUUGGCACCUCGAUGUCGGCUCAUCGCAUCCUGGGGCUGUAGUCGGUCCCAAGGGUUGGGCUGUUCGCCCAUUAAAGCGGUACGCGAGCUGGGUUCAGAACGUCGUGAGACAGUUCGGUCCCUAUCCGUCGCGGGCGCAGGAAAUUUGAGAGGAUCUGUCCUUAGUACGAGAGGACCGGGAUGGACAUACCGCUGGUGUACCAGUUGUUCUGCCAAGGGCAUCGCUGGGUAGCUAUGUAUGGAUGAGAUAAACGCUGAAAGCAUCUAAGUGCGAAACUCACCUCGAGAUAAGAUUUCCCACUCCUUUAUGGAGUUAAGACCCCUGAGAGAUGAUCAGGUAGAUAGGAUGGAAGUGGAAGUGCGGCGACGCAUGGAGCGGACCAUUACUAAUCGGUCGAGGACUUAACCU
rnacentral:rRNA from 1 species